AUAACGCAGCGAAAGCUGUGCUAAUACCGCAUACGAUCUACGGAUGAAAGCAGGGGACCGCAAGGCCUUGCGCGAAUGGAGCGGCCGAUGGCAGAUUAGGUAGUUGGUGAGGUAAAGGCUCACCAAGCCUUCGAUCUGUAGCUGGUCUGAGAGGACGACCAGCCACACUGGGACUGAGACACGGCCCAGACUCCUACGGGAGGCAGCAGUGGGGAAUUUUGGACAAUGGGCGCAAGCCUGAUCCAGCCAUGCCGCGUGCAGGAUGAAGGCCUUCGGGUUGUAAACUGCUUUUGUACGGAACGAAACGGCUCUUUCUAAUAAAGAGGGCUAAUGACGGUACCGUAAGAAUAAGCACCGGCUAACUACGUGCCAGCAGCCGCGGUAAUACGUAGGGUGCAAGCGUUAAUCGGAAUUACUGGGCGUAAAGCGUGCGCAGGCGGUGAUGUAAGACAGUUGUGAAAUCCCCGGGCUCAACCUGGGAACUGCAUCUGUGACUGCAU
rnacentral:rRNA from 1 species